rnacentral:rRNA from 1 species
GGGGUACGUAGGAUGUAGGCUUUGCCUGCUAUCUCUUACCCAUGUCUUUUGAGUACCUUACGUUUCCUCGGCGGGUCCGCCCGCCGAUUGGACAAUUUAAACCAUUUGCAGUUGCAAUCAGCGUCUGAAAAAACUUAAUAGUUACAACUUUCAACAACGGAUCUCUUGGUUCUGGCAUCGAUGAAGAACGCAGCGAAAUGCGAUAAGUAGUGUGAAUUGCAGAAUUCAGUGAAUCAUCGAAUCUUUGAACGCACAUUGCGCCCCUUGGUAUUCCAUGGGGCAUGCCUGUUCGAGCGUCAUUUGUACCUUCAAGCUCUGCUUGGUGUUGGGUGUUUGUCUCGCCUCUGCGUGUAGACUCGCCUCAAAACAAUUGGCAGCCGGCGUAUUGAUUUCGGAGCGCAGUACAUCUCGCGCUUUGCACUCAUAACGACGACGUCCAAAAGUACAUUUUUACACUCUUGACCUCGGAUCAGGUAGGGAUACCCGCUGAACUUAAG